GACGAACGCUGGCGGCGUGCUUAACACAUGCAAGUCGAACGGAAAGGCCCUGCUUUUGUGGGGUGCUCGAGUGGCGAACGGGUGAGUAACACGUGAGUAACCUGCCCUUGACUUUGGGAUAACUUCAGGAAACUGGGGCUAAUACCGGAUAGGAGCUCCUGCUGCAUGGUGGGGGUUGGAAAGUUUCGGCGGUUGGGGAUGGACUCGCGGCUUAUCAGCUUGUUGGUGGGGUAGUGGCUUACCAAGGCUUUGACGGGUAGCCGGCCUGAGAGGGUGAACGGCCACAUUGGGACUGAGAUACGGCCCAGCCUCCUACGGGAGGCAGCAGUGGGGAAUAUUGCACAAUGGGCGGAAGCCUGAUGCAGCAACGCCGCGUGCGGGAUGACGGACUUCGGGUUGUAAACCGCUUUCGCCUGUGACGAAGCGUGAGUGACGGUAAUGGGUAAAGAAGCACCGGCUAACUACGUG
rnacentral:rRNA from 1 species